UACGUAGGGGGCAAGCGUUGUCCGGAAUCACUGGGCGUAAAGCGCACGUAGGCGGAUUGCUAAGUCAGGGGUGAAAUCCUGGAGCUCAACUCCAGAACUGCCUUUGAUACUGGCGAUCUUGAGUCCGGGAGAGGUGAGUGGAACUGCGAGUGUAGAGGUGAAAUUCGUAGAUAUUCGCAAGAACACCAGUGGCGAAGGCGGCUCACUGGCCCGAUACUGACGCUGAGGCACGAAAGCGUGGGGAGCAAACAGG
rnacentral:rRNA from 1 species